rnacentral:misc_RNA from 1 species
GAAAUGCGAUACUUGGUGUGUAUGCUGACCUCCCGCGAGCACCCGCCUCGUGGUUGGUUGAAAUCUGGGUUCAUGGCCGACUUCGCCGUGAUAAAAUGGUGGAUGAGCCACGCUCGAGACCAAUCACGUGCGAGCCGGUCAGUUCUGGACCCAUCGACGACCCUUUGCGUGCACGCACGCUCCCAACGAGACCUCAGGUCAGGCGGGGCUACCCGCUGAGUUUAA